GGCGUGCCUAAUACAUGCAAGUCGAACGCUUCUUUUUCCACCGGAGCUUGCUCCACCGGAAAAAGAGGAGUGGCGAACGGGUGAGUAACACGUGGGUAACCUGCCCAUCAGAAGGGGAUAACACUUGGAAGCAGGUGCUAAUACCGUAUAACAAUCGAAACCGCAUGGUUUUGAUUUGAAAGGCGCUUUCGGGUGUCGCUGAUGGAUGGACCGCGGUGCAUUAGCUAGUUGGUGAGGUAACGGCUCACCAAGGCCACGAUGCAUAGCCGACCUGAGAGGGUGAUCGGCCACAUUGGGACUGAGACACGGCCCAAACUCCUACGGGAGGCAGCAGUAGGGAAUCUUCGGCAAUGGACGAAAGUCUGACCGAGCAACGCCGCGUGAGUGAAGAAGGUUUUCGGAUCGUAAAACUCUGUUGUUAGAGAAGAACAAGGGUGAGAGUAACUGUUCAUCCCUUGACGGUAUCUAACCAGAAAGCCACGGCUAACUACGUGCCAGCAGCCGCGGUAAUACGUAGGUGGCAAGCGUUGUCCGGAUUUAUUGGGCGUAAAGCGAGCGCAGGCGGUUUCUUAAGUCUGAUGUGAAAGCCCCCGGCUCAACCGGGGAGGGUCAUUGGAAACUGGGAGACUUGAGUGCAGAAGAGGAGAGUGGAAUUCCAUGUGUAGCGGUGAAAUGCGUAGAUAUAUGGAGGAACACCAGUGGCGAAGGCGGCUCUCUGGUCUGUAACUGACGCUGAGGCUCGAAAGCGUGGGGAGCAAACAGGAUUAGAUACCCUGGUAGUCCACGCCGUAAACGAUGAGUGCUAAGUGUUGGAGGGUUUCCGCCCUUCAGUGCUGCAGCUAACGCAUUAAGCACUCCGCCUGGGGAGUACGACCGCAAGGUUGAAACUCAAAGGAAUUGACGGGGGCCCGCACAAGCGGUGGAGCAUGUGGUUUAAUUCGAAGCAACGCGAAGAACCUUACCAGGUCUUGACAUCCUUUGACCACUCUAGAGAUAGAGCUUCCCCUUCGGGGGCAAAGUGACAGGUGGUGCAUGGUUGUCGUCAGCUCGUGUCGUGAGAUGUUGGGUUAAGUCCCGCAACGAGCGCAACCCUUAUUGUUAGUUGCCAUCAUUCAGUUGGGCACUCUAGCAAGACUGCCGGUGACAAACCGGAGGAAGGUGGGGAUGACGUCAAAUCAUCAUGCCCCUUAUGACCUGGGCUACACACGUGCUACAAUGGGAAGUACAACGAGUCGCGAAGUCGCGAGGCUAAGCUAAUCUCUUAAAGCUUCUCUCAGUUCGGAUUGCAGGCUGCAACUCGCCUGCAUAAAGCCGGAAUCGCUAGUAAUCGCGGAUCAGCACGCCGCGGUGAAUACGUUCCCGGGCCUUGUACACACCGCCCGUCACACCACGAGAGUUUGUAACACCCGAAGUCGGUGAGGUAACCUUUUGGAGCCAGCCGCCUAAGGUGGGAUAGAUGAUUGG
rnacentral:rRNA from 1 species